CCAUGGACACGAUCUUCGUGAAGAACGUGCGGGAGGACGGGCCGGCGCACCAGGCGGGGCUGCGCACGGGUGACCGGCUGGUCAAGGUGAACGGGGAGAGCAUCAUCGGGAAAACCUAUUCGCAGGUGAUCGCCCUGAUCCAGAACAGUGACGAUGUGCUGGAGCUCUCCAUCAUGCCCAAGGACGAGGACAUCCUCCA